rnacentral:misc_RNA from 1 species
UCAAACUUGGUCAUUUAGAGGAAGUAAAAGUCGUAACAAGGUUACCGUAGGUGAACCUGCGGUAGGAUCAUUAUCAAAUUAUCCAAAACCAUUUUUUAAUGGAUUUUUCCAUUAAAAAAAUAAUAAUUCAUCUUUGUGUGGAUUAUAUAGAAGAAGAAGUUUAAAAAGUAGAACAAUUUUAUUUUUAAAAUUGUUUCUAUUUUUUUUUCUCUUCUUCAAAAAAUUUAUAUAAACCCGUCUUACUUUUCUGUCUGACAAAAACGAUUUUAUAAUCAUAAAAUUAAAUUAAAAAAAAAAAUACAACUUUCAACAACGGAUCUCUUGGUUCUCGCAUCGAUGAAGAACGCAGC